rnacentral:lncRNA from 1 species
UGGGAAGUGCUUUCAGCCCCAGUCCCCAGUGUCAUCUUUACAAAACUCAGAGCUGGUGGGAGAAAGAACUUCUUGUUCAAUUUAGCAGGAAACAAUAGCACAAAGUCUUAGCAUCGCAGCACUUAGGAGCCGUCAGGAGGAGCUGAAAAUUACCCAAUUCAAAAUCCUCCCCAAACUUUCCGGACCCCGCAUGGCUUAGCAACAGCUGUCACAGUGACACAAACGUGUGUUGACAGGGAGCUGAGCCCGCAGCGCUGCAGGGGGAAGUGCAGAAUUCUGAUCUGGUGGGAGCCUUUUGGACAGUUUAGCAAGGGAGAUAUUGUUCUUUUGGUUUUUUUUUUUUUUUUUUUGGUACCAAACUCAGGUCCUUGUGCUUUCAAGGCAGGCGGUGAAACCACUGAGCUAAAUCCCCGGCCCAGGGAGAUAUUGUUUUUGACAAUCUUUAGAACUAGAAAUUACCCAGAGAGCUUCCUGCACUCACAGAUCUGUUUUCCUUCCAGGUUCCAUGCAGUGGAAACUGUCACACUUGGCUGCAAUUGGCGAUGUGAGAUGCCAGGAGGCUUCUGGGAAGAGGACAGGGAGGAAGCUUGGGUGAGGCUCAGAAAGGCUAAGGCACUUGCUCUAGACCACAGAGCCAGGCUCUGGUGGGGGCCUUGGCCUGAGGCCACACUCGGCAUGGCAGGUUUUACACCUCGACCCCGGGCUUGCAGUUGUAAUACUGAGCAGAACUGAACGUUUCACAGGAAGAUGUCCAGGGCUGCACUUUGGCCAAGCCUCUCUCUGGAGUGCAGGCGUUCCUUAUCUUGCUGAGCGGGUGGAUUAGACUCCAGAAGUGAAAUGAGAUCCAUCUGCUGGCUGCCUACUCCCCUGUCUCAGGGCCACAGGGAGGUGUGCUGAGUGGAACUUCAGAGGGUUCUGCGAACCACAAAGUCUUAUAAACUCUUGGUCAUACAGAUGAGGAUCGGAAAGGCCUGCAGGACAACUGAGCUCUUUCAUGGGAAGCUGUGUGCAUCAGAGUCAGGAAUGGGAGGAUAAAUAACAAGGUCAUCAAGAGAAGCAGGGCACCGGUGUCUGCCUCGCAAGCCCAAGGUCCAGAGUUUGAUCUCCGGUACCAGAAAAACCCCAUAAGUAGUCAGAGUACUUCAUUGGGCCGGGGAUUUAGCUCAGUGGUUCGGCCGCCUGCCUCACAAGCACAAGGUCCCAAGUUCGAUCCCUNNNNNNNNNNNNNNNNNNNNNNNNNNNNNNNNNNAGAGAGAGAGAGAGAGAGAGAGGGGAGGAGGGAGAGAGAGAGAGAGAGAGAGAGAGAGAAAUAGGGCAGCACGGUGCAGGAAGCCGGAGGAGAGAAGCCUGGUGGAGAGCAAGCGGGUGCAGGGCCAUGGCCCUGCCUAGAGACCCCAUCUCUGGCCUGCUAGAAGCCCAUCCUUGCCUCUGCUCCAAAGUCAUCCUCAAGUGCCAGCCCUGAGCAGCCCAGGCCCUCUCUCAGCCAUCUCCUCCCUCCCUAGGCCUGGCCGUGGGUGUUCACUAAUAUCAUUACUCCUUGAAUGAAUGAAUGAAUGAAUGCCUUCAAAUCCUCCAUUUUCACAAUGGUCAAACUGACCUAGAGCCAGGCAUGUGUUGGUCUCCAAAGGUUUCGUUGAGUGGGCUGGGGUAUUCUCUUUGAGCCUGCCCUAAACAAACAGGACAAAGCAAACAGGCUGCUUUCAGCAAACAGCAGUAGCUUCUCAGUAAAUAGGACAAAUGGACUCCAAACAAACUAUAAAACCCCCCUGGGGCUGAACAGCCCAGCGAGUGUCUGCACACUUUCGAAGCUGGUCCUUGGACUGAGUCAUAAACAUUCACCCCACAUCCUCAGCCCCUUCAGUACCUAGAGAAGCCAAAUUCCUUUCCCAGUACACUGCUGCUAUCUCUCGCCUGGUGUCAGCCCAGCCACUCAUGGGUGAAAUCUCUCCCAGCUAGGGGCUGCCUCCCAGUUUCGGGCCAGCCACACACAGGUGGAAUAAACUUGGCUUUUCCCGGCUGGCUGCUCCAAUCUCCCUGACUUUAGUCCCUGAUUUUAGUCUCUGUUCACUGGAAAGAACUUUUCUUUCAAAAGCCCAUUUUAAACAGCUGGAUUUAUGUAUGCCACCUAUAACAUUAUCUAAAUAAUGAGAAACCAAAGCAAACUGAGAGAGACCCUAGCAGUUGCUGAAAAGCCACUGGAGGGACAGAGGUGUGUGCUGGCCUGUGUCUAGACCACGCUGUGUCCCCAGGUGAGUGGUUUCCAAGUCCCGCAGCAGCAAUUCUCCGACAGGGC